GCAGUUCUUCAAUUGGAGUACCGUAAGUAAAAAAUUCCAUUAAGUUAUUGAGGUUACCAAGGGAGUUAGGAAUAGUGGUCAGUGAACUACACCAGAACAAACUUAGUAUCUCGAGGUUUGCCAAAGAGCCAAUGGAAUCAGGUAGCUUUUCCAAACCGGAUGCAUUAAGGGAGAUCUCCUUCAAAGAACACAGCUUACCAAUCUCCUCAGGUAACCCUUUCAAGGCUCCGCACCGGUUCAAGAUGAGCUUUUCAAGUUUUGUGAGAUGGAAUAUAGUUUCGGGUAGACUUUCAAUAGAAGUUCCAUCAAGGACAAAUUCUUUUAGUGAUACCAUGCUUCCGAUGUUUUUUGGCAGUCUUUUCAAUUGUGAGCAACCAUAAAGGUUUAGGUUCUCAAGUUUUCUCAGGCCGGAGACAUCACUUGGAAGUUCAACCAGGUUUAUACACCCUUGCAAGUUCAAGUAGACUAAUGUAUUCAAAUUCCCAAUCGAAUCAUGGAGCUUAAUCAGUCCAACACAAUACUUAAGAAUAAGCUUUUCCAAGGCAUGAUUCCCAGAUAAAUCAGGAAUAGCAGUUAGAGAACUGCAGCCACUUAGAUUCAGGAACAUCAAUUUCUCAGCCACCUGGAAAAUGGUAUAGUUACUAUCAAAUACCAGCACAAAUAAUAACCAAACUACACUAAAUGGUACCUGCAAACUAGAAAUGAAACUAUAAGGUUCACUAAGAAAAUACUGAAAGUGCGUGAAAUGUUUAGAAGUAUAGUGAAGACUGAAGAUCAGUCAUGUACACCUCUUGCUUCUCAGAAUAAUGGUGAAAAUGAUGCUGGUCGGAUAAGUGAAGCCUACCUUAUUCUUGUUACCACUGCACAAUCUUUCCACUUUGCUCUCUGAAAGAUCAAGGCCAGCAAGUUGCUGAAGGAAAAGAACAGAAGGAAGAGAUUUCAGAGGACAACCUUUCCAUUGUAACCACUUCAAUUCAGAAGGAAGAAAUUUGAAGCUCCCUUCCAAAUUCACAUAAUUCAUCUGAAGUAGCCUAAGAUUGACCAUAGCUCCAAAGGGUUUAGAGUGAAUUGUAAUCCGACUCUUUUUCUCUGCUUGCUUUUGAAGAUAUGCUUUGUAUCUUUCCUUUAAGUAUGUAGUAGCAGAGGUAAAAUUGGGGCUACUUUGAAAGUUGUUCCAAGAAAUUUUGUCGCCGGUUAGAUCCCUUGGACCCUUCAAUUUCCAUUCAGUGUCUAGGUCCUCUAGGACUAUGCCUUGUAUACAUCUUGUCCCCUAUUGUGAAUCAAGGUAUAAAAAUUAUAUAUAAGAAGUUGAUUGAAGACAAGCAAAAAAAAAAAAAAAAAAAAAAGUGCGGCUAUUGGAACCUCCAAAUUUGCUCACUAGACCUUACUCUAUUGUGAAUUAUUAAAUGACAUAUACAUCCUCAUACACAAUAACUAUUAUAGACAAUAAUUAUACAAAAAGAAAUAUUAUAUUUAUUCUCUUUAGACUUUCAAAUUCAGUAAUAAUUGAUUCCAUUUUUUAUUAUUAUUUUUAUAUAUUUUUGUUUUCCAAUUUCUUUUUAUUAAAGCGUAUAUAUAGUUUAUAAAAGCUAAAAAAAUAAUCAAUAUCGAUCAUGUGACAUAAAAUUUGGUAUUAUCAUACAUGUUGAACGCAUAUACUUGCAAGGUGCAUAAAUAUUUUUGUAAAAAAAAUAAAAUAAUAUCUAUCGAUUAUAAAAAUAUAUAUUUAUUGAAAUAAUUUAUUAUGAGGUACAAAAUAGAGAUCAAAUUAUUCAAAAGAAAAAAAAUGGAGAAAAAAUAACACGUACAAAAGAGGAAAGCAAUUAAAAAGACAUAUAGAAUAGUUCAUAAUAGAACAUUUUCUUGCAUGAAAAAAAUAAUCAAAAAAUGAAAGUAGGGAACUAGGGAUAAUGGAUGUUGAAAAACAAAAAGGGAAAAAGAAAACAAAGAAUGAGAGAUCUAUUGAGUGAAUAAGAGGAAAUUAAUUGAAAUAUAUGAUAAUAAAUAACUAAGGUUAUGUUAGAAAUUUGAAAUGAGGUCUAGUGAGCAAAUGCUUAUAUUGAAAAGUAAAAAGGAGGUGUAGAGAGAAUGAGAGGUAUAUUGAGCAAAUUUAGAAGUCUCAAUAGCCAUAUUACUCCUAUGUUAAUCUCUCUCUACAAUCAGUUUAAGGCAUCUGGUGAAAUGAAAGCACAUAGAUAUACAACAAUUUGUGAGAACGACCCUUAUUACAUGGCAAUAGGUGUUCAAUGAAAUUUAAAAAAAAAUAAAGAAAAAAGAAAAAAGGAAACUAUGAAAGGCUCUCAAAUAUAUCUAAACGUACCAAGAAUUUGCAUAAAAGGAAUGUAGAAAGAUUAUUAUAUGCUGGAAUAUGUACCUUAUCAUCCUUUAAGACAUUAAUAAUUUUAUCAUGUUCCCACAGUCUACUACGCAUGCCAGGAUCCAAAAGGUUUUCGUGUAUCACGAUUUGUCUUCCCAUGUCCCUAACUUGAUCGUGCAUCCACAAUUUAGUGUCUUCUGUAAUCUUAACAAGUGAUUUUGCAGUGAGGUCAGCAAUUGCUAUCUCACCAUCAAAACCACAGCUCCUCAAUAUGUCAAUUGCAUCUUCUCUCUUGGGAUUCAUUUUUACAAGUAAGCAUGCAAUAUCCAAGAAGAUACACUUUUCUUGCUCGUCUAGCGCGUCAUAACUUAUCUUCAACACAUCCUGAAGAUGUUGUGGCCGAAUCUUUUUCAGUUUGUGCAGAGCAUCUGUCCAUUCCUCUAUUCUCCUCUUAUCAAAUAGAAAAGAACCAAAUACUUCAAGAGCUAACGGUAGCCCUCCUGUAAGAGACACAAUUUCUUUAGAGAGAUCCAAGAAAUUUCCUGUGGGUUUAUCUCUUCUCAGUGCAUGGUAACUAAACAGUUGUAGUGCCUGGGACUCAUGCAACUCCCUGACCUCAUACGACUUAUAAUUCACAAGAUAACUGGGUAAUAGUCCUUUAUCCCUCGUGGUAAUGAUAAUUCGGCUUCCUUCAUUGAACCAUUCUCCUUUGCCAACUGAAGCACUUAGCUGGUUAACAUUAUCAACAUCAUCCAGAACAACAAGAACUCGCUUGUCAUAUACUAGUGCCUUGAUCGCAGAAAUACCGGUCUCAAUGUCAGUCACAGGCAUCUUACCAGGGGAAAGAUUGUUGAUAAGUUUGUUUUGAAGAGAUACCAAGCCCUUAUCUCCUGCGGAGACUUCUCUAACAUUUGAGAUGAAACUGUGUCCAUCAAAUUGACCAACAAGUCUAUUAAAAAUAGCCGUGGCAAGUGUUGUCUUGCCAACACCACCCAUGCCAUGAACUCCCACAACCCGAACGUCACUUGAUCUAACAUCUAACAACCUCAUCAUGUCUUCAAUUCGGGAAUCAAGACCCACUGUGUAUGCUGCAAGACCCACCGGGGUUCUGUUUAUUUCAGCCAACACCGUUUUGACUAAAGAUUGAAUCAACUCUGCUUCUUUGCUGUCAAAUAUACAUCACAAAUAGUCAAAUACAUUUUGAGCUUACAAACUUGCCACAGCAAUGAAAUACAGUAGUAUAAUACAGUUAGCUAUAGGUAUAGAUCAAGCUUUUGGUAUGAAGUAUGAACAUAACAACUACUAGAUUCAACAAAAAACCAGUCUCACACUUUAUGCAACCUAGAAAGGAAAAGGUCUGCAUUUUAGAAAUCCAAUCUGAAAGUGAUACUGGAGAAGAAUUUUCAUUACUAUAUUCAAUCAGAGACACAUUGGAAUAAACAAACAAAUAAGUAUUGUUACUAAAUUCACACCUCCAAAACACUCCAAAACACUUGAUCAACAAAAGCUUAAACAUAAACAAAUAGCUCAAAUUUCAACUAAAUAAACCCUAGAUAUUUGAGAUCAAACACUACCUGCUGUCGUAAACAAACCCAGCUAUGCCACCAACUUUGGCCAUGGCCUUUCUCCAUUCACAGACCUUGGAGCUUUCAAAUCUCUCCUUAUGAGACCUGAAGUCCUUCUCAAACGGCCCGCUCUGUCGCCGGACGUCGGAGGGGUCCACCUGGUAAAACACCGGCAGAAUCAGUCUCCGGCCGCCGUGGCAGAUCUUCGCGAGCUCCUCAAGGCACCACCUGGAGUCGGCGUACCUCGGCGAGAGCACGACGACGGCGGCCGCGGAGUCGUCGAUCGCUUCCAGAAGACUCGGCGCGAUCUCGUCGCCGCGGUUGAGGGCGUCGUCGUCGCGAAAGACGCGCACGCCGCGCUGCACAAGCGCGUCGUAGAGUGAGUUGGUGAUGGUGUGGCGGGUGUCUUCGCCUCUGAAGCUCAGGAACACGUCCCACCGGAGCCGGAAACCGCCGACGGCGCCGUCAUACGGCAUUGAUGCCUUAAUUGCGUCUGGGAGCUACUGAAAUUCCUGAAGCUUCUUUUUACUGUACCAACACACAGAAUAGAAUAAUGAAACCUUUCUUUCUAGUUUGCUAAAGAAUUAUUCUGAAAUGAAACGACUGUUUUCAAGCUUUAUGGUCCUACUCCAUACACCAUAGUCAAAAAGCCAGAGUGACGUAUUAUCAUGGCAUGGUUUUCCUGAUCAGAAAGAGCGGUCAAGGCCGAAGAGACAAGAGUGCGUCGUUUUAAUUUUUUUCAAGGGUGGACCGUCUAACCCGUCAAGGCCCACCGAACUGGGUUCCGCCUAGACACGAGUGGAAUCCUCCUAGCCCGCUUAGGCCCAUUUUGCCAAUGCUUCGCCCAGCCCACCUUGGAGAAUUUCUUUUUCUUUUUUCUUUUUUCUUUUUUACGCAGCUCGCGCCUAACUAUAUUUCAGCCUUUCAGGUCAUAUAAAAGGUUACAAGGACAUGAAUAAACUGGGGCAUGAGUCAACUAGCCAGUUAAGUCUCACACCUUGGUUCAAUACUGGAUAUGUCUGGAUUACUGGGAAUGAAGGAACAUGCAUGGCACAUUCCUAACUGAGAAAGUUUUUUUCCGACAAAAACAUUGCUCAAUAAGUUUCCUGUUUCCCACUCGCCCAAGACACAUAUGAAUAAAACAAAGUGAUGAAAUAAUAAUUCCAGUAGGCCUAUAGUCCUAUACAAUAUACUAUUCCAAAAGUCUCCAAAGGUUUUUGUAUCUUAGAGCAAGUAACAGAUCAAUAGUACUAAAACCCUAAUUAAUUAACAUGAACAAGUGCUCAAAUCUCAACGAUAUAGCCAGUAAAGAAAUACAACUAUAUAUUAUCACGUACACAGAGUCUCCGUCUACUCGUAAAUCGUAACACAGCAAGUAGCAAAGGGAAACUUACUGCAGCCUGCUUUCGAAGGCAAAAAAAAUUCAAAACAACACACCCACCCACCCCCUACAAAGCACGUGCACAAACUCUUAUGUAUGUAUGUUAUACAACGCUGCACAACAGACCCUCCUGUAGUAAAAAUACUAAAACCCUAAAUAACAUUAACAAAUACUCAAAUCUCAACGAAAUUAGCUAGUAAACAAAUACAUUAAUAAAAUAUUAUCAACUACACACAACUUCUAUAAUUUGAAGGUCUCCGGCUACUCGUAUGAAUCGCUAAUCUUAUCUCAAAAUGUUGAUAUGGUGAAAUAUAUAGAAUUGAAAUUUGUUUAGUUCUUGUGAUUUUAUUUUAAUCUGAAUAGUCUUUAAAGUCAUAAUUUUUCAUCCAAAUAGUCCUCAUGGUUUUAUUUUAAUCUGAAUAGUCCUUAAAGUCAUGAUUUUUCAUCCAAAAAGUCAUUCAGACAAUUUUCUCAGAUAAAGGCCAUAAAGACUAUUUGGAUAAAAAAUCACGACUUAAGGACUAUUCAGACUAAAAUAAAAUAAUAAGGAUUGUUUGGAUGAAAUAUCAUGUGAUUUAUUUAUUUACGGUGCAUCACCGCUCAAUGUUGAGACAUUGAUUAUGAGUUGUUGAACAUGGAAUCUUUAUAAAAUCUAGACACGGAGACUUGUUUCUGCAUACAUGCACCAUAAAACUUCACUGCAUCUCUUCGGUUCACAUCUUGAGUUUCGGACCAAUUUUUCUUUACAAUUGGUUUUCCUGGUUAAAUUAUUGAAGUUACUAUGACACGUUGCUAAAGAAGUACCAAAAGCUUGCAAAGGAUCGCAAAUGGAAGGAUCCCCUCUGUGGUACAUACUCACUGUUGUUAGUUUAAAUAUCUGGUUUUGGACGUACAAUACGACACUUAUAUUUUGUUAUGCAGAUAAGUAAUUUCCAAUUUCUAUUAUUUCGUUGCAGUUGCGCUAUCAUAUUCAAUACAUAUCAUGGAGGAAGGAGUCAGACCUGUCACUUUGAAUGAUGUUUCUGUGGAUGCUCUUGUAUCUCCAGCUGGUUUCAUUCCGAUUAGCCCAGCUGCUUGGAAUAGAUGUGCCUGAAAGGAGUGGUCUGCAUUCAACUAUCUACAUCCCAGAUGUUUCUGCAUCUGAUGAGGGCCUGCUAGGAACCUACAGCUCUUUUAUUUACUCUAGAUAGUCAUCCUUAUGAUUCUAGAUUGAAUGAACUAUGAACUAUGGAUCAGCGAGUCUCUCUUCUUUUCCCCUUAGAUAGAGGAAAUAGUUAUAUUGAUUUAGAUGCUUCAUGUACUUCGGAAUCCUGACUGAGCAAUGAUACGCAGAAUUAGAAAUUUGGGAGUCCAGAAUGUUUCAUGGGAAUUGUAAGACUUGCUGGGUAACCAGAUCGCAGGAGCCCUGCCUGUAUCAAGGAUUCUGCAUACAUGCAAGUUUUAAACAGUUAUACGGUGUUUUCUAAUACGAUUUAUAGUUUGUUAUCAAUACUUUUACUAAUGAAAUAGCCUCAAAGAAAACUCAUAGUAAUAUACACAUUCAUAUAUUUAGUAUCAAACACUCUUUUUUUUUUGAUGGCUUGGACCCAGUGGGAGGCUAGGCCAUCACGCCUGUAAAGUCAUUAGAAAUUACAUACAACAUAUUUAAAAACCAUAAGUCACAACUAGUUCCAUCACACAAAUGAAUAAAGGAGCUGAAUCUUUGGUUUCCCCCAUUCUUUAGGAUGCAGGCCUUAUUCGAAAGUGCUGAAGAAAUUUGCCAGUUGUUCUGAAAGGGAUUGCUGGCUUUCAUUUAAUGAUUCUUCAUCUCCUUCAUAAUCAUCAUCGCCUUCGUAAAUCAAAUAUAGCCCCCACUUCUUCAGCUCCACCCCUUUCACAUAUGGCGGCUCUCUCCUCUUUACAUGUAUCUUAUAACCAUCUUUCAACUGGGACACCAAAGGAUGAUCAAUUGGAUACCGGCACAAGUGAAAUUGAUCAUCAUUUGUAUUGGGUACUCCCGAUAAGAUCAAUGCUGUAGUGUAAGUAGGAGAAUCCAGUAUGAGGAUCUGCGCUUGAAUAUCUACCACAGCAGGGAGUUCUUCUCUUGGGUCAUCAGGUAUUUGAUGGUUGAGAGAAACCACAACACAUAGAAUUACACUUUUGAGAGGGCGGUUUCCUCGUUUUGAGAAUGUAACCAUUUCUUGAGAAAACCAGUCUGGUAUCUUGCUUCCAGGCAUGCUAAGAUUGCGUAUUUUCCUCAGGUAGCUCUGCAGCAUUUUUUUUAGUUAGAGCAACCAACUCAAUACCAACACAGGAAAUUUGAGACAAACAACUUGUAAUGGGCUAGACAAGCAAGGCAAGUAGACAGUGGAUAAACAACUAUACCAAGUAUGCCUACUCUAACAUCACGUAGAAUUUCAAACAUUUUGCAUGUAACCAAACAUACUAUUCAACUACGUAGAGAGCAAGAGAGGGUACCUUUUUCGCAAGUCUUCUCUUAACAGCUGAUGAGCAAGCCUUGCAGCCACUCAUAUACAACCUUACCAAGGAAUUCAAGCAUUCCAGCCCGGGUAUAUCCUCAACUUUCUUACAAUUUGUAAGGUUCAGUUCACUCAAGUUCUCCAGGUUUGAAACAUCACAGAUACUUUCUAAUGCAAUACAGUUUGCAAUAUCCACCUUUUUCAAACUUGAGGGAAGCGGAGGCAGAGACUUUAGCUUUCUACAAUGAGGCAAUAGAAGUUCUUGGAGCACGGACAUGCCACUCAGGCUGGCUGGAAGGUGGCAGAAACUAUUACGACUGAGAUUCAAAGUUUCAAGUGAUGACAGGUUCUCGAAAUCGUCAGAAAUGUCACCAGAUAUGUGACAAGCUCGGGCAUCCAGUUCGUACAGCAAGGACAGAUUUGAGAAGGAAGCUGGAAGUAUAAAAUUCUCUUCUGCAGGUCCCCCAGCUUGAGGCUUCUUCCCCAUGCUCAAAACCAUCAAACUAGAAAGCAUCCCAAAGCUAUCAGGUAGUUCGGUCACUGCAGUUUCCUUCAUCUGCAAUUGGUGCAACGAUUUUAACUGUCCUAUUGAUGCUGGAAGCGUGCGGAACUGCUUACAUCUGUUCAACAUUAACAUGGUAAGAUUUUCCAGCAACCCUAUGGAUUCUGGCAAUUCAGUGAUAUUUGCUGCAGUUAUGAUUAUAGAAGUUAGUGCCCUCAUCUCUCCAAUUGACUCUGGUAAUGAUCUAAGAGAUUCACAGUUCCUCAGCUCAAGUUUCUCAAGUGUUUUCAAGGCACCAAUAUCCUGCGGGAGGUCUGUGAUAGAUGUCUGUUCUAUCUUUAGCACAACUAAAGAACUCAAUCUUCCAACUGAAUCAGGCAAUGAGCUCAGAAAUCGACCCUGCCCAACUGAUAAGUCCUUUAAGCUUGACAAUGAACCAAUGUUCGCAGGCAGUUCAGUGAGUGGAGUACCAUAAGUACUAAAUUCCAUUAAGAAAUUGAGGUUCCCAAUGGAAUUGGGAAGAGUUUUUAGUGAUUUACACCAGAACAAUCUUAAUUUCUCAAGGUUUGCCAAAGAGCCAAUGGAAUCAGGUAGUUUUUCCAAACCAGAUCCAUUAAAGGAUAUUUCUUUCAAAGAAUACAGCCUUCCAAUCUCCUCAGGUAGCUCUUUUAAUACACUGCACCGGUUCAAGCUGAGCUUUUCGAGUU
rnacentral:lncRNA from 1 species